rnacentral:lncRNA from 1 species
AAAGAUCGACGAGACUCAGAAAUGGCUUCUACUUCCGCUGUGUUAUUGGUCAUGCCACUCACCCAAAACCGAUCAUCUUCAUCGGCAAAAACCAUUGCCUUCCUCAAGCCAUUGCCUUUGAAGCCAUCCAAAGCCUCCUCCUCCUCCACCUUAGCCAUGCCUUCACGAAGGUUUCAUGUGACUGCAUCUAACGUAAAGAUGGAGAAAGCUGUGAGCGGCUUAGCCGCCGCAGCUCUCACCGUGUCAAUGGUGAUCCCUGAGGUGGCUGAAGCUGCCGGCUCAGGAAUCUCUCCUUCUCUCAAAAACUUCUUGCUUAGCAUUGCCGCGGGAGGCGUGGUGCUCACAGUGAUUAUCGGCGUGGUCGUUGGUGUCUCAAACUUUGAUCCAGUUAAGAGAGGCUAAAAGAGAGAGAGAGCGAAAAGAGAUAUGAUCUCUAUCAUUUUAGUUUGGUAUUG